GCUAAGAAAUGUUUUUAUAUUUUAAUCUAAUAUGUGUACAUUCGCGGUGAUGUCUGAGAGUUUUAUUUUGCAUUGCUUGAAUACUCUCCGAGAAAAAAAAAAGACUUUCUUUCUGCUCUGAGGGGAAGCCCAACCUACCUUUAUCUGUAUCCGCCAUCUUGCGCGAGUUGCUAAUGCGAGUUGUUCGAGUGCGUACUUUGUAGCAGCUCUGCCCAUGGUGUGUAAUUUGUGAGCACCCAAGAGCAACUGAGAAGGAAAUGCUUUCUGGACUUUAUUACGUACUUUCGAGCUGUGUGGCGACGAUUUCCCCGAAGGUAUUCGAAACUUCUUGCAGUCACAAAUGCGCAAAACGGGGAGGCACAUAACUAUAUAACUCUAUCAGCAUGCAGUCGACCCAGUGAUGACAAUCGAUUUGGGAGCACGCAGAGUGCUUCAUUUAUUGAAGGCGAGACUGUUUUCUCAGCAGUUUAGAUUUCUUUGCCUUCUCACCGUGUAUGCGGUUUUCCAUCUUGCAUGCGAUGUGCAGGCGCAUUACAAUAUAGUAGUGUACAACUGACUUUGUAACAUCGGUUUUGUGCUCAGUACAUCCUACAAAGGGGACUGUUGUGCUGGAUACCUCUUCUACAACGGAAAAGAGGAUCGUUUCAUGCAUUGGACUGCUAAGUGCCCUCAUUAUUAUAGACUCUAAGUGGUCAAUUAAGGCGAGAAAUUCGCUCGAUGGAAACAUGAGCCCUCCCCUGUUUUUCAGCGAUAUAAAGUUAUACCGCUCGUCAACGGUUUCAUUUGUGACAAAGCUCAUAGAGCAUAGCGGGCAUGUGCAAAAGCUGAGUAUCUUCCUUGCAACAAACCCAGCCACAUAAGCAACAAUAUCUGUUCUUGAUUGGGUCACACUGUAGUCAUGCUGACCUGCGGUUACUUCUUGUGGCACUUCUCUGGUAGAUACUGUGGCAAUAAAUGUAUCGAGCAUUUGUAGCAGUUCAGUGGGUCCAUGUUGCGAUGCAUCAGCUGCAUUGAAGUCAAUCAAGCUUUUCAAAAUUUCAGCUCCUGUCACAUUACUGCCACGUGGUGGCUUGAUGAGGGAGUACGUGCUAAGCAACCGAAACAUUUGGACAAAGAGUGUCGAGUCUGGAUGUUGGUUCUGCCCACAGGAGUUCCUCAUCAUGCCGAAAAAACGCUGUAAAAGCCAAUGUGACUGAGCCAUGGUUCUCUUCAUGACUUAAGUUAUGCCUACCUCCAAAGCAUCUUGAUUCAAGCGAGCUGUCAUGAGGUACCGGAAUUCACAUUCAGACACCAAGUACUGAUGUAACUGUAGUGUUGCUUGCAAUGUAACCUUUAGCCCAUCUGAAGUUUGUCUGCUCAUGAAGCCCUCUGUAUUGCCUGGUGGGCUGCAGAUUGUUUCCCACUCGCUUAUGAAGGCAAGAAAGCUCUUGAUUGUCUAGAUAGAAAAAAAAAACAAUUAGAAGAAAUAAAUUACAGGAAGCUACAUAAACAUAUGCAUAGCAGCUACAUUAUUAUUUGUCUGCUAUUUCAUUUAAUAUACAGCACACUCUAUCUAAUGUAUGCAUAUGUAUGAUAGACUGGGAACAAGUUUGUUUAGAUAAACUCAUUACUUGUAGCUUUUGUGGGUCUGUAGUGAGUGCAUCUUUUGGAGUCCUCGCAUUCAUGACGUCUACCAGCUGGUUGACACGUUGUACGAAUGCAAUAGAUGCAUCGCAGUCUGUCAAGUUGUCGUGAUGAGGCUGAUAAUGCUUCAUCCCCUUUGCAACACUGUCGCUGAACAACUGUGUGAGCAAUAGAAAAUAGCUGCUUUUUAUUGCUAAUAUUGCUUAUUUUACCGUGGCUCUUAUACAGUCUCUGCUCGAUGGGCAAAUAUGCCGAUUGAGAGAACUGGAUGAAGUACACACAUAUUUUGAAGCCUAAAUCAUUGCCGUGCGAUACCUACAUCUUUGGUAUCAGGCUAGAGGUGACGUUCAUCACAGGAAUAUGUUACUUUAUUCAUGUCUCUCACCUGGAAUGCCAUGGCCACGUUCAUCUUUUGAUAUGGGCGUGGAUCUACAUGAUCCGGCGUCAGCUUAGGGCAUGCUUUCAGGUUGUGCGCCCUGGGCCGAUCCAUUUCUACCACUGCACUCCAGUGCUUGAUGUCAACUAUUCCGUCCGGUGUCUGUGAAGUGUUGAAAUGGCAUUACCAAGAGAUGUAAAGCAUAAGAACUGUAAUGAUAGUUACUGUCAACUUUCUUUUCUUCACAAGGCUGUUCCUCAAGCAUUUUAUCAAAUGUGGGAAAUCAGAUGUGAACCACAGCUGCCUUGAAAAGUUGCAUGGAUGGGUACAGUUGACUUCACUGGUGUUGACUCCAAAGUGAGACCACAUGUUCCUGUUCCACGAUGCCCCAUCAGUGGUCACUACAUCUACCAGGAGUCCUGCAUUCUCAAGUAGGAUGAUGCACUCGAGGACAAGUUUGUGCAGUACAUUUCCUGGUGCACUGCCCUUGCUGAGGAAACAUGCCAAGGCCUGAACCCACUUGCCCCUGAAAGGCUGGAACAUGAAGACCAGGGCGUGGUCUCCCUUCUUGCUCUUCUGGGACUCUGGCAUCAGGAACACAUUUGCUUGCACUCUACAUGAUUAAAAUAACAGCCCAGAACCAAGUGCAGUCAAGCACCAAGCUGCCCAUAGUGCUGCCAAGUGGCUGCCCACAAGAGCACUUCACAAAGGAGGAAGAAGAAACCUAUUUGAUGUUUUACUUUCAAUAAACUAGCAAAACUAUA